rnacentral:rRNA from 1 species
GAUGAACGCUAGCGGGAGGCUUAACACAUGCAAGUCGAGGGGCAGCAUAGGGUAGCAAUACUCUGAUGGCGACCGGCAAACGGGUGAGUAACGCGUAUGCAACCUACCCUGUACAGGGGGAUAACCCGGAGAAAUUCGGACUAAUAUCCCGUAAUAAUAUCCGGAGGCAUCUUUGGAUAUUUAAAGUUCCGACGGUACGGGAUGGGCAUGCGUAACAUUAGCUGGUUGGUAAGGUAACGGCUUACCAAGGCUAUGAUGUUUAGGGGUCCUGAGAGGGUGGUCCCCCACACUGGUACUGAGACACGGACCAGACUCCUACGGGAGGCAGCAGUGAGGAAUAUUGGUCAAUGGGCGCAAGCCUGAACCAGCCAUCCCGCGUGCAGGAAGACGGCCCUAUGGGUUGUAAACUGCUUUUCCAGGGAGAGAAACUUACGCACGUGUUGCGUGACUGACGGUACCCUGGGAAUAAGCAUCGGCUAACUCCGUGCCAGCAGCCGCGGUAAAACGUCUA